rnacentral:rRNA from 1 species
UACGUAGGGUGCGAGCGUUAAUCGGAAUUACUGGGCGUAAAGCGUGCGCAGGCGGUGAUGUAAGACAGAUGUGAAAUCCCCGGGCUCAACCUGGGAACUGCAUUUGUGAUUGCAUCGCUGGAGUGCGGCAGAGGGGGAUGGAAUUCCGCGUGUAGCAGUGAAAUGCGUAGAUAUGCGGAGGAACACCGAUGGCGAAGGCAAUCCCCUGGGCCUGCACUGACGCUCAUGCACGAAAGCGUGGGGAGCAAACAGG